CAGGAUCUUGUUCGGAGGCAAAGUGUCAAGACAAUGAAAAAUGCAUUCCACAAUCCCUAGGAAAUUAUACAUGUAAACUAUCAGACUGUGGACUCCCACCGGAUGUAGAUGGCGCUGACAUGGAUAGUGUGGAGAGAUGGGAUGCAAUAGGAAUCUAUAGACAGCUGAAUAUAAAGUGUAAAGAUAAGUACACAAUAAAAGGACCAGGGCUUAUCAACUGUCCUUCAAAUGGACAAUGGGAGAUUCAUCUAAUUUGUGAGUGGCCACGCUUCGGAAACAAGACGUAUUCGGUCGGCAGCCGUAAACUAGAAUGGGAAAAAGCUAAGG